AUUGAAUUUCAUCCGUGAUUUUACGAACAUAUACAGAUAAAAUCCGCGGUUUCGAUUUUAUUGCACACCACUAACCCCGAAAGAUCCAUAAUGUGGGAAAGGCCUUUUCUUUUGUCAAAUGAAACCUAACAUAAAAUUUCAAUUUUAUAAAAAGAUUUGAUAAUUCCGUCCGUAUUCUCGUUUCUUACUCACCACCACCAACUUCCUCCUUCAGUUUCGAAUUCUACCGUCCACCUCCAGCAACACCAUCACCACCAUUACAGAUUUCUUUUUAACAUUAGUUCAGUUCUAUUUUAAUUCAUACCAGUUCAAUUGGAUUUCAGUGCAUGCCAAUUUCGAUUCCGAUAAUCCCCACCAUCACUACCAGCACCAGGUGAUGAAAAGCACGAUCAUUUGAACAAUCUGGAGAACGCAGCUGAUAAUCUACAUCUCUUUAAGGAAGAUUUGCUGGACUACAACAGCCUAUGUGGUGCAAUUGCAGGAUGCAGCAGUGUUCUUUAUGCUGCCAGUGUACAACUCCUGUGUCUGAUCCUGAGGUUAAACUGAUUGAGCCUGCUGUCAAGAGUACGCUUAACGUACUGAAGGAGUGUACCCAGGCUAAAGUGAAGAGGGUUGUGGUUGUGUCAUCUCGUGCUGCUGCUAUUUGGCACCGUAAUUGGCCAAUUGAUCAACCCAUUGAUGAGUCUUGUUGGUAUGACAAGGAACACUUGAAUACCAAUUAAGCAGCUUAUGCACACAUUAUUGAGCUGGCGAGGCGUUGGGAUGAGGAUAGAAGUGAACUCUAUAAAGUGCAACAGCGUAGGAAACUAGAGAAGAAAAAUAAUAAUCUGGAGCUGAAGUGGUUUGUUCCUCAACGGAUCUUAAAGCUCAUCUUCGUAAUUUGAUUACACCUACAGAUUUUAAAGGAACACGAUGAAUCUUCAAAGACAUUGGCUGUUCCUACGGUUUACACGGACAUAAACAGUCACACUAUCUAAUCAAAUCAGUUUUCUGUAACAGAGCAUUUCAGACACGCAAUAGUUGGUCAACCUCAUUCAGUACCCGGUGUAUUCUUCUUUUACGAUUUAUCUCCAAUUAAGCUAUUUGUGGCCUGGCAAACUUCUACGGUAUAGGUACUGGGUAGGACAUCGGUUUAAGGAGCCUAUUCGCUGAUUGUCGUGCAAACUUUAGUUUGUGAACCCAUUUUUGCAGAUGGACUCUUUACAAGGUUGUGGUUCAAGUUCUCAUCCACGUCGAAGCCCAAGGCUAAUUCAGCCAGCUCAACUUGAAGAGCUAACUGAGAGUGACACAAAAAAACAAAGGCAGUUCCCAUUGCGACAUGCUCAAUACAAAGCAAGACAAGAGAGAAUGACAUAACAUGAAAAGGAGGCGCUCAGUAAAAGAAGUCGUCUCAGUCGGACAACAAGUGAUGCAUCAACUGUCCGAUCACAUGACCAUGAAGCCAAUACAAGUAUCAUACCCCAUCGAAGCCCUAGAAUUGAACUGCAACAGAAAGAGCUUCAAUUAGAGAUGCUUCGUAUUGCAAAAAGGGAUAAACAAAGUUCAAUGAGUGAAAAUUAAAAACAGGAGAUCCUUACAAAACGCCGUGAAUCUUAUGCAAUGCAAAGACUAAAAGCUGGUGUUUCAGCAAAUAAUGAGCACAGAGCUGGACCAAGUAGUGAAGAUGAACAACUUUACGGCAACUCAAUCCUCCGAGCCUCGUCGUAGCUCAAGGUUUCUCCAGCAAACUCAGCAGCCUUAUGUUGUGGAUAUCGAAAAAGAAAGAGACUGUCAAGUAUGCAGCAGCAUUCAUUCCACGCCGAAGUCCCAGAUUCACUGAGCAAACUCAAUGUCAAGAUAAUGAACACGCUGCUGAGGCAUCCAGAAGGAGAAAGGGCAAAGCGGUUAUGAUAUGCGAGGUUGUACCUAUUUCUGGUAAUGAUGGAACUGAGAAGGAAACAGAAACACAAACAGCAACUAGCAUUGAGACCGCGAAGGCAUUAUCUAAAGAUUCCAGCGGAGGAGAUUUUAGAAAAAGGCCUCGGAAGGAAACCAGGAGUGAAGUUGUGCGUUGUUGUAUUCCUGUCAAACACGUCUUUAAGAGUUUGACGUUUAGUCUUAGAUCUAAGCAAGAAGUAGAAGAAGAUAGAGUUGCACGACGCGUACGAAAUCAUAUGAACCAAUCUUUGAGGCUACAAGAGUCACUUCUCGCAAGGCGUCGAAGUUCAAGAAUUGAACAAGCUCGACUCAUCCGAGAGAAUCCGAGCUGUGAUGGACUCGUUGAUGUUCCCGUACGCGCUGAUAUACCCUUAACAUUUGCCUCAAGCGGCUUCUUUGAUCUACCAGGAGCAACUUCUUCAAGAGGAAUUAAGAGUUAAGAUAUCCCUCACGUAGACCUAAUACUGCAUGUCAGAGACGAUGCCGUGCAUCCGGUACAAUGCAUCAAAGGAUUGUAAGGCGAGCCAUGAAUAAUCUGCAUCAAAGAAACUAUCAGCAUAGAAAACCCCAAACAAGUAAUGAAGAAAUACGAUCUAAUGCUCAGUUAAGUCCUGCUGUACUAUCUAAUGGACAGAGGUUUAGAAGAGCUGUGCAUGAGAUAAAAUGGGUUUCUUGUGUUGGAUGUAAAACAUCAUUAUAAUGUUUUACUCUCUAUCAUGGGAAACUAACUUAACUUUAUUUGGUUUUUGAGUCGUCUAAGGGGGGUGAGUUGACACCUUAUUAACCAUGAGCGGUACCAGUAGUGAUUUUCCUAGUUAUGAUCCUACUAGUUUGAGCUGAUAGAAAAAUAUUGUCAUUUUGUUCUAGUAUCUUCUUUUUUUUCUUGCUCUAUAAGAAGAUUUCCUUAAACUUAC